UGCAAGUCGAACGGUAACAGGGGAGCUUGCUCCCGCUGACGAGUGGCGAACGGGUGAGUAAUGCAUCGGAACGUGCCGAAUAGUGGGGGAUAACGCACCGAAAGGUGUGCUAAUACCGCAUACGCCCUGAGGGGGAAAGUGGGGGACCGCAAGGCCUCACGCUAAUCGAGCGGCCGAUGUCGGAUUAGCUAGUUGGUGGGGUAAAGGCUCACCAAGGCGACGAUCCGUAGCGGGUCUGAGAGGAUGAUCCGCCACACUGGGACUGAGACACGGCCCAGACUCCUACGGGAGGCAGCAGUGGGGAAUUUUGGACAAUGGGGGAAACCCUGAUCCAGCCAUGCCGCGUGUCUGAAGAAGGCCUUCGGGUUGUAAAGGACUUUUGUCCGGGAGGAAACCCUGAUCGUUAAUAGCGGUCGGGACUGACAGUACCGGAAGA
rnacentral:rRNA from 1 species